AUUGAACGCUGGCGGCAGGCCUAACACAUGCAAGUCGAACGAGUGGCGGACGGGUGAGUAAUGUCUGGGAAACUGCCUGAUGGAGGGGGAUAACUACUGGAAACGGUAGCUAAUACCGCAUACCAUCGGAUGUGCCCAGAUGGGAUUAGCUAGUAGGUGGGGUAAGGGCUAACCUAGGCGACGAUCCCUAGCUGGUCUGAGAGGAUGACCAGCCACACUGUAACUGAGACACGGUCCAGACUCCUACGGGAGUCAGCAGUGGGGAAUAUUGCACAAUGGGCGAAAGCCUGAUCCAGCCAUGCCGCGUGUGUGAAGAAGGUCUUCGGAUUGUAAAGCACUUUUAGUUGGGAGGCGUUACCAACAGAAUAAGCACCGGCUAACUUCGUGCCAGCAGCCGCGGUAAUAC
rnacentral:rRNA from 1 species